ACAGCCAUGUCACACUGAAACAGCGGUUCCCAUAUAAUCACCGGAAGUUAAGUAAUGUUGAGCCUGGUCAGUACCUAGAUGGGUGACUGCUUGGGAAUACCAGUUGCUGUAAG